UACGUAGGGUGCGAGCGUUGUCCGGAAUUAUUGGGCGUAAAGAGCUUGUAGGCGGUUUGUCGCGUCUGCCGUGAAAAUCCGGGGCUCAACCCCGGACUUGCGGUGGGUACGGGCAGACUAGAGUGUGGUAGGGGAGACUGGAAUUCCUGGUGUAGCGGUGAAAUGCGCAGAUAUCAGGAGGAACACCGAUGGCGAAGGCAGGUCUCUGGGCCGUAACUGACGCUGAGGUGCGAAAGCAUGGGGAGCGAACAGG
rnacentral:rRNA from 1 species